rnacentral:lncRNA from 1 species
GGAUGCAGCAGUUAUUUAUUUACAUUUUUCAGCGUCAUAAAUCUCCAUAUAUCUCUAGCUCCAAGGAGAUGUGUACAACUCUCCUACAAGACAGACUCCAACUGGUAGAAAUAGCAGAUUUCUCACAGACAAAUAUCACUAGGUUGAUACGUUUAGUUCACAUACUCAAAUAGACUAAAUAUCACUAGGUUGAUACGUUUCAUUCACAUACUCAAACAGACUAAAUAUCAUUAGGUUGAUACGUUUAGUUCACAUACUCAAACAGACUAAAUAUCACUAGGUUGAUACGUUUAGUUCACAAACUCAAACAGACUAAAUAUCACUAGGUUGAUACGUUUAGUUCACAUACUCAAACAGACUAAAUAUCACUAGGUUGAUACGUUUAGUUCACAUACUCAAACAGACUAAAUAUCACUAGGUUGAUACGUUUAGUUCACAUACUCAAACAGACUAAAUAUCACUAGGUUGAUACGUUUAGUUCACAUACUCAAACAGACUAAAUAUCACUAGGUUGAUACGUUUAGUUCACAUACUCAAACAGACUAAAUAUCACUAG